CAGAAUCUAAUAAAAAUUCUUGAUACAAUGGAGGUGAUGAAUAAAAAUGCCAACUGGAAUGCAGUGAAGUAUAAGUAGUCAAGAAGUGAAUGAAGCAAAAUCUGGAGUGCAAACCAACAUAUCAAAUUUAAAGAAUACUAUCAGAAAAAUACUUAGAAGCAAUGUGAGGAGAGAUAUCUGAAUUCAAUAUUUGGACACUAGAGCCAGCAGGCAAUUAGGAAACUAUUUUACCAAACUGGUAAGAAAUGAUGGGGCUCAAGGGAACCUGUCUUGGACUGUGAGCUAAUGGAAUUCCCUGAUGACCAUUCAAGAAUAUGACAAUUGGGGGCGCCUGGGUGGCUCAGUGGGUUAAGCCUCUGC